CCCCGAGUGUCAGUAAGAAUUGGCACUCGGGGAUCAGGUUCCAGGAGCUGCUCGAGGUGGCUUGAGCCUGCGGACCCAGCAAGUGGCUGGGCAGUUGGUGUGCAGAUCGGCACAGGGAGACCUGGCCCUGGGAGCAGCUCAAGGCUGUUUGGGCCUCACUCAGAACCACCAGGAUCCCUGCUGCUGAAGCAAGCGUUUGGACUUGGGCAGAGGAGCCUGCCCAGGGCCAGCACUGGGGACCCAGCUGGAGGGCAGAUGAGGUGGCUGACAUCUUGACCAUUUGGGGCGAGGAGGACAUGCUUCAACAGUUCAAAGUGGGCCACCGCAAUGAGUUCAUCUUCCUGGUGAUAGCUGCCCAGAUGUCAGGGCAGGGGCAGCAGAAGACAUGACAGCAGUGCCACAUGAAAGCCAAUUGUGCAGCUGUGGCCCACUAGCAAUUGGCCCAGAGGUGCAGGAAACUCUGCUACAGUGUCCAUACCACAGCCCAAGUGACUGAGGUCCCCAUUUGAGUCUGGCAGGCACGCAGCCAUGGGGCUGCAGGUCCGAGGGGGCAGAAAUUUAUGCUGCUGCUAUUUGAGCUGCUGCAAGCACACGUGCCUGUGUGUGUGGAUGCACCUGUGGAGACAGAAAACCUGGAGUCAUCCUGGUGCACAAGGCAAGUCCAAACAGCAGAGUAAAAACCAAUAGCACUAUUUCUACAGACUGAAUGAAGAAUAAAUCUUAAAAUCACAAAGACAAUCUAAACCAAAGCAUAAGCAAGCAUCAUCCAUGUAUUGUUUGAACAAAGCAGUCAUCCAUAAAAGAUAAACACGUUUGCUUGGGUGAAAGUAUGUGCAGACAUACUUUCCCAAGUAUUGCACAGA